rnacentral:rRNA from 1 species
AACGAACGCUGGCGGCAGGCCUCAUACAUGCAAGUCGAGCGAUUAAGACUCCUUCGGGAGUGUAUAAAGCGGCGAACGGGUGAGUAACAGGUGGAUGAUCUACCUUCCGGUGGGGGAUAACGGCUGGAAACGGCCGCUAAUACCGCAUUCGGUUAAUACGCUGUGGCGUAUUAAAGAAAGGCGCCUCAAAGCGCCGCCGGGAGAUGAGUCCGCCCCCCAUUAGCUAGUUGGUGAGAUAACAGCUCACCAAGGCAACGAUGGGUAGCCGAACUGAGAGGUUGAUCGGCCACACUGGAACUGAGACACGGUCCAGACACCUACGGGUGGCAGCAGUAGGGAAUAUUGGGCAAUGGGCGAAAGCCUGACCCAGCCAUGCCGCGUGAGUGAUGAAGGUCCUAGAGAUUGUAAAACUCUUUUCUGAGGAAAGAAUGAAUAGGGAAGGAAAUGUCCUUAUUUGACGGUACCUCAGGAAUAAGGAACGGCUAACUCCGUGCCAGCAGCCGCGGUAAAACG